rnacentral:rRNA from 1 species
ACACCGGCAGCCCGAGUGGUGGCCACUUUUAUUGGGCCUAAAGCGUCCGUAGCCGGUCUGGUAAGUCCCUGUGUAAAUCCUCAGGCUCAACCUGAGGAAGUGCGGGGAUACUGCCAGACUAGGGGCCGGGAGACGCGGAGGGUACUCCAGGGGUAGCGGUGAAAUGCUGUAAUCCCUGGGGGACCACCAGUGGCGAAGGCGCUCCGCGAGAACGGGCCCGACGGUGAGGGACGAAAGCCAGGGGAGCGAACGGGAUUAGAAACCCUAGUAGUCC